GUGGGUGGGAGCUCAGUGGUAGAGUGAAUGCUUAGCAUGCAUGUGGUCCUGGGUUCCAUCCCCAGUACCUCCA
rnacentral:tRNA from 1 species